GACGAACCGAGCGAACGUUGUUCGGAAUCACUGGGCUUAAAGGGCGCGUAGGCGGGUGUUCAAGUCCGUGGUGAAAUCCUCCGGCUCAACCGGAGAACUGCCUCGGAUACUGAAUGUCUCGAGGGUGGUAGGGGUAUGCGGAACUAUCGGUGGAGCGGUGAAAUGCGUAGAUAUCGGGAGGAACACCUGUGGCGAAAGCGGCGCACUGGACCACAACUGACGCUGAGGCGCGAAAGCUAGGGGAGCAAACAGG
rnacentral:rRNA from 1 species